CUCAGCUUCGUUAUUAGAGCCAGACGAAGGAGGAAAAGGAGCAGAAAAGGCUGAAACAGAGAUGGUCACUCUGAAUACCUGGGACACACUGGAUGAGGUUGGCCACCAUGCCACUGAAAUGGGAUCGGAUGUCCUUCAAAAUCUCCAGCUCUUUAUCGUUCUCGGCCUCCAGCAGCAUGCGCGUCAGGUCCACAUACUCCAGAAAGAGAGCACCAAGAGCCAAAGAAUCUCUCUCUAACGCCCCGUUAGUGCUGCGUGAGAGGAACAGUGAGGAACAAAUAAAAGUGAUGAAGAGUUA